ACGGAAAAGCUGUAGCUAAUACUUGCUUUAUUAUCCUUUGAUUUUUAUCUUUGGAUAAGUAUUUGUUAGGCCUUAUAAGAAAAAAGUUAUUAACUUAAGGAAUUAUAACAAAGAAGUAACACGUAAUAAAUUUAUUUUAUUUAGUGUGUAUCAAUCGAGUUUCUGACCUAUCAGCUUUUGAUGUUAGGGUAUUGGCCUAACAUGGCUAUGACGGGUAACGGGGAAUUAGAGUUCGAUUCCGGAGAGGGAGCCUGAGAAAUAGCUACCACAUCUAAGGAAGGCAGCAGGCGCGUAAAUUACCCAAUUCUAAAGAAGAGAGGUAGUGACAAGAAAUAACAAUGCAAGGCCAAUUUUUGGUUUUGUAAUUGGAAUGGUGGGAAUUUAAAACCUUCCCAGAGUAACAAUUGGAGGGCAAGUCUGGUGCCAGCAGCCGCGGUAAUUCCAGCUCCAAUAGCGUAUAUUAAAAUUGUUGCAGUUAAAACGCUCGUAGUUGAAUUUCAAAGAAUCGAUAUUUUAUUGUAACUAU
rnacentral:rRNA from 1 species